CGUUCUACACUAUAAUCACUUUUGACCCUUUUCACUCUCUCACUUCCCAUUUCACUCUCUCUUUCUUCGUCUUCGGUCUUCGUCUUCUCCGCUGAUAUUAUGAACCCUAAUUCCGCCCCCAAAUUUUCCGUUUACUUCCCCCGCUUAUCAUCAAUCAAAUAGAUGUAAUUGUAAUGGAAAAUAGCAAUCACAAAUCAGCCCCAACCUGUGGUUUUGAUUCCGAAACCAUAUCGUCUUCAUCGUUACUGAUCCCCGGAACAGAUUUGUCUAUAUAUAUAAUCGAAAAUUACCUGGAUUUGUUUGAAGUUGUGGAGGACACGCCGGAAAAAGUGAGACAAGACGAAUUACAACGAAGCUUGAGCGAUAUCAGGGCCGCGAAGAGGUUGAAAUUUGAUGACCCAACUGGCCUCUUACAUAUUUUUCUUCCUCGAUUCUUUAAUUCAGGUAUAGGCCAGUCCUGAUGCAAGAGUCAGAGUUCUUGAUUAAUUUCGAAUGUCACUUUCAUUUCUCCUUUCCUUGGACACUCUGCUGGAGAUGAGAUGAACAAAAACGGUGAGCUAUUUAUCAAAAGGAAUCCCCAGCUAAAAUUGAAGUUAGUUGAUGGCAGUAGCCUAGCCGCUGCUGUUGUCCUCAAUAGCAUUCCAGAGGGAACAACCCAUGUUGCCAUUAAAGGAAAAUCGUCUAAGGUUUCCAAUUCUGUUGCCAUUGCAUUAUGUCACAGAGGCGUUCAGUGUCCUAACACGAUUUGGAAUUCCAACUCAUUAGGUAUCUAUUUCAAAUGAAAAUGCUUACAGAAUUCUAAAAGAGAAAUGUGAUUCUGAGAUUCAAGACAAUUUAAUCCUUUCAGAAAGUUACUCCCAAAAGGUGAUUUUUAAGUUACUCCCAAAAGUGUCAUUCACUUCAAGACAUGAAGAAUACAAGCAAAUACAGGUGGAACUACAAGACAUGAAGCUGGGGCAGUCGUUACAUGGGCUCCAACUUCAACAACGAAGAAUUCAAUCAAAUGCAGGUAGGACUAAAGGAAUUACAGGAGCUGAGAAAGCAAAUGGAAGAGAUGAAGAGCCAACUUGUUAUCGUGUUUAGUGAUAGGAAUGGAAUUUGAACAGUAGUGUGCCUGACUGCCUUUCAUAUUAUGUAUUAAGUUUGUGUGACUCCUGACUCAUGAAUUAUGACUCGGAUGCUACUUUUGCUUAUUAAUAUAUGCCAUUUUCCUGUA